rnacentral:rRNA from 1 species
CACGUAGGGGGCGAGCGUUGUCCGGAUUUAUUGGGCGUAAAGAGCUCGUAGGCGGCUCAGUAAGUCGGGUGUGAAAACUCCAGGCUCAACCUGGAGACGCCACCUGAUACUGCUGUGGCUAGAGUCCGGUAGGGGAGCAUGGAAUUCCUGGUGUAGCGGUGAAAUGCGCAGAUAUCAGGAGGAACACCAGUGGCGAAGGCGGUGCUCUGGGACGGUACUGACGCUGAGACGCGAAAGCGUGGGGAGCGAACAGG